GAUGAACGCUGGCGGCGUGCCUAAUACAUGCAAGUCGAGCGAACAGACGAGGAGCUUGCUCCUCUGACGUUAGCGGCGGACGGGUGAGUAACACGUGGAUAACCUACCUAUAAGACUGGGAUAACUUCGGGAAACCGGAGCUAAUACCGGAUAAUAUAUUGAACCGCAUGGUUCAAUAGUGAAAGACGGUUUUGCUGUCACUUAUAGAUGGAUCCGCGCCGCAUUAGCUAGUUGGUAAGGUAACGGCUUACCAAGGCAACGAUGCGUAGCCGACCUGAGAGGGUGAUCGGCCACACUGGAACUGAGACACGGUCCAGACGACUACGGGAGGCAGCAGUAGGGAAUCUUCCGCAAUGGGCGAAAGCUUGACGGAGCAACGCCGCGUGAGUGAUGAAGGUCCUCGGAUCGUAAAACUCUGUUAUUAGGGAAGAACAAAUGUGUAAGUAACUAUGCACGUCUUGACGGUACCUAAUCAGAAAGCCACGGCUAACUACGUG
rnacentral:rRNA from 1 species